rnacentral:rRNA from 1 species
UACAGAGGCCUCGAGCGUUAGGCGGAAUCACUGGGCUUAAAGCGUGUGUAGGCGGACCCCUAAGUACCUUGUGAAAUCCCACGGCUCACCCGUGGAACGGCUCGGUAUACUGGGUGUCUUGAGCCACUUAGGGGUUACCGGAACAAAUGGUGGAGCGGUGAAAUGCGUAGAUAUCAUUUGGAACGCCAAUGGUGAAAACAGGUAACUGGGAGUGUGCUGACGCUGAGACACGAAAGCCAGGGGAGCGAACGGG